rnacentral:lncRNA from 1 species
GUAGUAGUCUAGUGAACACUGCUAAAUCAGGCACUGUUAUCCAUGCACUCCAUGUGCCACUCCCAUCAAACUAUCUAUACCAGAGGCUGAUGCAACCCUUUAUUGUUGAACUUAUCCAGAAAGAACCCUUCUUUUUUUGAAGAAAUUCCUCUGUGGGUUUCUCUCCAGGUUUCCUGGAUGAAAGCAAGAUUUCUUAAUCUCAUUUAGGAAUCACUGUGGCUUACCAGGAGACACCAGGUGUGAUGGUCCCUAUGCAAAUAUGCACAGACAUUCAGUAUGCAGGUAAGUGGAUUAAAGAUUAAUUUAUCCUUUCCUAAGAACCAGUGAAAAUUCUCUGCAAACUCACAGAAAGACAUAUUAGCAAUUUUUUUUCAGAUGAUAAUUGCAAUUAAACUUUAUUUCACUUGCUUUAGGUAAAAUCAUCAUCUUCAAGGAAAAUUCAGGCGGAAGCACAUUACCACCCAACAGGCUUUUAAGCACAGAAGCAGAAUCCUACUGGAGAAGUUUGCACUAUGAAAACAGUUACAAUAUUAAAUUGCUCACAGGCAGGUAAAAGCCAUCACAUCUACAGACGUGGACAAAGGUACUUAUGUCCAUGUGAUUUCCAUAGUAUUCUUAAUUAGCUUGGAAGUUACACCAGACCAGCAAGAUGACUGCAAAAGAAUAAUUUUUCUACCCAAAGCAUAUAGUCUUUGGAAAAACUGUUCAAUUCCUGGUUUUCAUCUGCCUUUAAUAACCUUAGUGAGCUGUUUAAAAGUAAAUCUGUGAACCAAAUUUGUUUUGCAAUUAAAAAGUGAGUUUUAAAUAUGAUUUGAUGAAACAAAGCUCCUCUUUCUAUUUAGGGUUUCCAGUGAAAUUCUACCUUCUUACACAGAUCACGAAAUGAGGACCUCGUAAAUCAAAAUAAUACCAUGAAGAGCGGUAUUUCUUAAUGAACAACAAUUAUGUGAUAGGAAGAAUGGCCAACUUUUUGGAAAACUUUAUUAUUAAAAAGCCUGAAACCUUCUUCAAAAGAACAAUUUUCCUCUGUUUGUAUUGGAUAAGUAGCAAAAUAUUUUGCACCUAACAUAAUUCUCUCUAUAUUUUAGAUCAAAAAUUAAGUAAUCGAGUUAAAAAGGAGCAUGCAGACAUUUUUAAGGAUUAAACCACACUCAUUGGGAAAAAAUAUAUUUAAAAAAUCACUUUUAUCAGCAUCAUGAAAAGUAAUAUCAAUUGUCAUUCACACACAUACACACACACCUUUCUUUGUACUACUGUUCUUUCUUUGUACUACUGUUUGGGUUUUUAUCCCUUACUCAUU